rnacentral:pre_miRNA from 1 species
AUAGCAUUUGGACGGUCGGUCUACCGAGCAAAUUCACCUGCUGGACGGAAGAUCUUCCCAUAGUCGA